rnacentral:rRNA from 1 species
GGAAUAUUGGACAAUGGGCGCAAGCCUGAUCCAGCCAUGCCGCGUGUGUGAAGAAGGCCUUCGGGUUGUAAAGCACUUUCAGCGCGGAGGAAGGGUGUUGUUUUAAUAGAACAGCAUUUUGCCGUUACUCGCAGAAGAAGAACCGGCUAACUCCUGUCCAGCAGCCGCGGUAAUACGGAGGGUGCAAGCGUUAAUCGUAAUUAAUGGGCGUAAAGCGCACGUAGGCGGUAUGUUAAGUUGGAUGUGAAAGCCCCGGGCUCAACCUGGGAAUUGCAUUCAAAACUGGCAUGCUAGAGUAUGUGAGAGGGGGGUAGAAUUCCAAGUGUAGCGGUGAAAUGCGUAGAGAUUUGGAGGAAUACCAGUGGCGAAGGCGGCCCCCUGGCACAAUACUGACGCUCAGGUGCGAAAGCGUGGGGAGCAAAC